rnacentral:rRNA from 1 species
GUGAAAGUGAGUAGGCUGAAGACUAAGGUAAAUCCGGGUUUUCAAGGCCGAGACACGAGACGAGCUCCCAAGGGAGUGAAGUUGUUGAUGCCCUGCUUCCAGGAAAAGCUUCUAAACUUAUGAUUAUAUGAACCGUACCCCAAACCGACACAGGUGGUCAGGUAGAGAAUACUAAGGCGCUUGAGAGAACUCGGGUGAAGGAACUCGGCAAAAUUGUACCGUAACUUCGGGAGAAGGUACGCCUCUGUUUGUGAACACCUCGCGUGGUAAGCAAAUGGAGGCCGCAGUGACCAGGUGGCUGGGACUGUUUAUUAAAAACACAGCACUCUGCAAACUCGUAAGAGGACGUAUAGGGUGUGACACCUGCCCGGUGCCGGAAGGUUAAUUGAUGGGGUUAGUUUUCUUAACGAAGCUCUUGAUCGAAGCCCCGGUAAACGGCGGCCGUAACUAUAACGGUCCUAAGGUAGCGAAAUUCCUUGUCGGGUAAGUUCCGACCUGCACGAAUGGUGUAACCAUGGCCACGCUGUCUCCACCCGAGACUCAGUGAAAUUGAAAUCGCAGUGAAGAUGCUGUGUACCCGCACCUAGACGGAAAGACCCCGUGAACCUUUACUACAGCUUGGCACUGAACAUUGAACCUACAUGUGUAGGAUAGGUGGGAGGCUUCGAAGCACAGUCGCUAGAUUGUGUGGAGCCGUCCUUGAAAUACCACCCUUGUAUGUUUGAUGUUCUAACAUUGGCCCCUUAUCGGGGUUGUGGACAGUGUCUGGUGGGUAGUUUGACUGGGGCGGUCUCCUCCCAAAUAGUAACGGAGGAGCACGAAGGUUAGCUAAUCACGGUCGGACAUCGUGAGGUUAGUGCAAUGGCAUAAGCUAGCUUAACUGCGAGACAGACACGUCGAGCAGGUACGAAAGUAGGUCAUAGUGAUCCGGUGGUUCUGUAUGGAAGGGCCAUCGCUCAACGGAUAAAAGGUACUCCGGGGAUAACAGGCUGAUACCGCCCAAGAGUUCAUAUCGACGGCGGUGUUUGGCACCUCGAUGUCGGCUCAUCACAUCCUGGGGCUGAAGUCGGUCCCAAGGGUAUGGCUGUUCGCCAUUUAAAGUGGUACGCGAGCUGGGUUUAGAACGUCGUGAGACAGUUCGGUCCCUAUCUGGUGUGGGCGUUGGAUGAUUGAUGGGAGCUGCUCCUAGUACGAGAGGACCGGAGUGGACGAACCGCUGGUGUUCGGGUUGUCAUGCCAAUGGCAUUGCCCGGUAGCUACGUUCGGGACGGAUAACCGCUGAAAGCAUCUAAGCGG